rnacentral:rRNA from 1 species
CGCCGCGUGAGGGAAUGACGGCCUUCGGGUUGUAAACCUCUUUCAGCAGGGAGAGAAGCGAAAGUGACGGUACCUGCAGAAGAAGCGCCGGCUAACUACGUGCCAGCAGCCGCGGUAAUACGUAGGGCGCGAGCGUUGUCCGGGAAUUAUUGGGCGUAAAGAGCUCGUAGGCGGCUUGUCACGUCGGUUGUGAAAGCCCGGGGCUUAACCCCGGGUCUGCAGUCGAUACGGGCAGGCUAGAGUUCGGUAGGGGAGAUCGGAAUUCCUGGUGUAGCGGUGAAAUGCGCAGAUAUCAGGAGGAACCACCGGUGGCGAAGGCGGAUCUCUGGGCCGAUACUGACGCUGAGGAGCGAAAGCGUGGGGAGCGAACAGGAUUAGAUACCCUGGUAGUCCACGCCGUAAACGGUGGGCACUAGGUGUGGGCAACAUUUCCACGUUGUCCCGUGCCGCAGCUAACGCAUUAAGUGCCCCGCCUGGGGAGUACGGCCGCAAGGCUAAAACUCAAAGGAAUUGACGGGGGCCCGCACAAGCGGCGGAGCAUGUGGCCUUAAUUCGACGCAACGCGAAGAACCUUACCCAAGGCUUUGACAUACACCGGAAACGUCUGGAGACAGGCGCCCCCUUGUGGUCGGUGUACAGGUGGUGCAUGGCUGUCGUCAGCUCGUGUCGUGAGAUGGUUGGGUUAAGUCCCGCAACGAGCGCAACCCUUUGUCCCGUGUUGCCAGCAGGCCCUUGUGGUGCUGGGGACUCACGGGAGACCGCCGGGGUCAACUCGGAGGAAGGUGGGGACGACGUCAAGUCAUCAUGCCCCUUAUGUCUUGGGCUGCACACGUGCUACAAUGGCCGGUACAAUGAGCUGCGAUACCGUGAGGUGGAGCGAAUCUCAAAAAGCCGGUCUCAGUUCGGAUUGGGGUCUGCAACUCGACCCCAUGAAGUCGGAGUCGCUAGUAAUCGCAGAUCAGCAUUGCUGCGGUGAAUACGUUCCCGGGCCUUGUACACACCGCCCGUCACGUCACGAAAGUCGGUAACACCCGAAGCCGGUGGCCCAACCUCCU